rnacentral:rRNA from 1 species
UCGAGCGCGAAAGCACUUCGGUGUGAGUAGAGCGGCGGACGGGUGAGUAACGCGUAGGAAUCUACCUAGUAGUGGGGGACAACUCGGGGAAACUCGAGCUAAUACCGCAUAAGCCCUACGGGGGAAAGCGGGGGACCUUCGGGCCUCGUGCUAUUAGAUGAGCCUGCGUUGGAUUAGCUAGUUGGUGGGGUAAAGGCCUACCAAGGCGACGAUCCAUAGCUGGUCUGAGAGGAUGAUCAGCCACACCGGGACUGAGACACGGCCCGGACUCCUACGGGAGGCAGCAGUGGGGAAUAUUGCGCAAUGGGCGAAAGCCUGACGCAGCCAUGCCGCGUGUGUGAAGAAGGCCUUCGGGUUGUAAAGCACUUUCAAUUGGGAGGAAAGGUUCACGGUUAAUAACCGUGAGCUGCGACGUUACCUUUAGAAGAAGCACCGGCUAACUCCGUGCCAGCAGCCGCGGUAAUACGGAGGGUGCGAGCGUUAAUCGGAAUUACUGGGCGUAAAGCGCGCGUAGGUGGUCUGUUAAGUCGGAUGUGAAAGCCCCGGGCUCAACCUGGGAACUGCAUUCGAUACUGGCAGACUAGAGUGCGAGAGAGGGAGGUAGAAUUCCAUGUGUAGCGGUGAAAUGCGUAGAUAUGUGGAGGAAUACCAGUGGCGAAGGCGGCCUCCUGGCUCGACACUGACACUGAGGUGCGAAAGCGUGGGGAGCAAACAGGAUUAGAU